CAGUCGCCGCGGGAAUACGAAGGGGGCUAGCGUUGUUCGGAUUUACUGGGCGUAAAGGGCGCGUAGGCGGACUGAUAAGUCAGGGGUGAAAUCCCAAGGCUCAACCUUGAAACUGCCUUUGAUACUGUUUGUCUUGAGUUCGAGAGAGGUAAGUGGAACUGCGAGUGUAGAGGUGAGAUUCGUAGAUAUUCGCAAGAACACCAGUGGCGAAGGCGGCUUACUGGCUCGAAACUGACGCUGAGGCGCGAAAGCGUGGGGAGCAAACAGGAUUAGAUACCCCCGUAGUCCCUGUCUCUUAUAC
rnacentral:rRNA from 1 species